AGUGGCGGACGGGUGAGUAACGCGUGGGUAACCUGCCUCACACAGGGGGAUAACAGUUAGAAAUGACUGCUAAUACCGCAUAAGACCACAGCACCGCAUGGUGCAGGGGUAAAAACUCCGGUGGUAUGAGAUGGACCCGCGUCUGAUUAGGUAGUUGGUGGGGUAACGGCCUACCAAGCCGACGAUCAGUAGCCGACCUGAGAGGGUGACCGGCCACAUUGGGACUGAGACACGGCCCAA
rnacentral:rRNA from 1 species